GAGGUAUUAGUUAAUUUAUAACAUCACCUUGUCAAGAUGAAAUAACGAGCUAACCUCCCGUAUACCUUC
rnacentral:tRNA from 1 species